rnacentral:rRNA from 1 species
UACGAAGGGGGCUAGCGUUGCUCGGAAUCACUGGGCGUAAAGCGCACGUAGGCGGCUUUCUAAGUCAGGGGUGAAAUCCUGGAGCUCAACUCCAGAACUGCCUUUGAUACUGAGGAUCUUGAGUUCGGGAGAGGUGAGUGGAACUGCGAGUGUAGAGGUGAAAUUCGUAGAUAUUCGCAAGAACACCAGUGGCGAAGGCGGCUCACUGGCCCGAUACUGACGCUGAGGCACGAAAAGCGUGGGGGAGCAAACAGG